rnacentral:rRNA from 1 species
ACGAACGCUGGCGGCGUGCUUAACACAUGCAAGUCAAACGGAAAGGCCCUGCUUUUGUGGGGUGCUCGCGUGGCGAACGGGUGAGUAACACGUGAGUAACCUGCCCUUGACUUUGGGAUAACUUCAGGAAACUGGGGCUAAUACCGGAUAGGAGCUCCUGCUGCAUGAUGGGGGUUGGAAAGUUUCGGCGGUUGGGGAUGGACUCGCGGCUUAUCAGCUUGUUGGUGGGGUAGUGGCUUACCAAGGCUUUGACGGGUAGCCGGCCUGAGAGGGUGACCGGCCACAUUGGGACUGAGAUACGGCCCAGACUCCUACGGGAGGCAGCAGUGGGGAAUAUUGCACAAUGGGCGGAAGCCUGAUGCAGCAACGCCGCGUGCGGGAUGACGGCCUUCGGGUUGUAAACCGCUUUCGCCUGUGACGAAGCGUGAGUGACGGUAAUGGGUAAAGAAGCACCGGCUAACUACGUG